rnacentral:rRNA from 1 species
UACGAAGGGGGCUAGCGUUGCUCGGAAUCACUGGGCGUAAAGGGUGCGUAGGCGGGUCUUUAAGUCAGGGGUGAAAUCCUGGAGCUCAACUCCAGAACUGCCUUUGAUACUGAAGAUCUUGAGUCCGGGAGAGGUGAGUGGAACUGCGAGUGUAGAGGUGAAAUUCGUAGAUAUUCGCAAGAACACCAGUGGCGAAGGCGGAGCU